UACGUAGGGUGCGAGCGUUAAUCGGAAUUACUGGGCGUAAAGCGUGCGCAGGCGGUUCGUUGUGUCGGUGGUGAAAUCCCCGGGCUUAACCUGGGAAUGGCCAUGGAAACUGGCGAACUGGAGUGUGGCAGAGGGGGGUGGAAUUCCGCGGUGUAGCAGUGAAAUGCGUAGAGAUGCGGAGGAACACCGAUGGCGAAGGCGGUCUGCUGGGCAGUUGCUGACACUGAGGCGCGACAGCGUGGGGAGCAAACAGG
rnacentral:rRNA from 1 species